UACGGAGGGUGCGAGCGUUGUCCGGAAUCACUGGGCGUAAAGGGCGCGUAGGUGGCGCGGCAAGUCAACGGUGAAAGCUCGACGCUCAACGUCGAGUCGGCCGUCGAUACUGCUGGGCUCGAGCACUGUAGAGGCAGAUGGAAUUCCGGGUGUAGCGGUGGAAUGCGUAGAGAUCCGGAAGAACACCGGUGGCGAAGGCGGUCUGCUGGGCAGUUGCUGACGCUGAUGCGCGACAGCGUGGGGAGCAAACAGG
rnacentral:rRNA from 1 species